rnacentral:lncRNA from 1 species
GGGAACAGGUGAAUGGAGGGGAGGCACACUGGGCAGGGGAGGUGGGGAGGGAAUGUUCUUUGUCUCUCUUUGGGCUCUGAGUUCCUCACAUGGCUCUCACCCCACUUAGUGAGCAGUGUCCAUCCAGCAUCCACGUUUCCAGCCAUCCAGGGUGCCUCACUGCCUGCCCUGACCACACAGCCCAGCCCUCUGGUGAGCGGAGGUUUUCCACCACCCGAGGAGGAGACACACAGUCAGCCAGUCAAUCCCCACAGCCUGCACCAUCUGCAUGCUGCCUACCGUGUCGGUGAGAGGACAUCCCUUUCUGUGCUCCUACCUGCAGUUGUGCCAGUGGCUCUUCAGAGGACCCUUCCUCUAGCUCUUCAUUUGUUUACUGUGGGGUCAGGUGGCAGGUUGGGGUAAAGGGUGAAGAGGAUACACCCUACCAUGUGCCCACCCUUAUCUCCCAGGAAUGCUGGCACUGGAGAUGCUGGGUCGCCGGGCACACAAUGAUCACCCCAACAACUUCUCCCGCUCCCCCCCCUACACUGAUGAUGUCAAAUGGUUGCUGGGGCUGGCAGCAAAGCUGGGUAACACCUCCCCUCCCUAGGACCAUUGCCCCCCCCCCACCUGCUCUCCCCACCUUCCUUAUCCCAGACCUCCUUCCUAGCUCUUGCUCAGAGUUGAGGCCUUGGUCGGGUAUGUGUGCGUGCGCGGGGGGCGGAGGGUUACCUCAGCUCCUGGGGUGGAGGGAGGCUCUCUGCCAGGCCAGAGCUGAGAUCUGUAAGUUGGGUCCCUAGGGCAGAGGUGGCCACCCCCGUCUCAUGCCCCUCCCCCUGCCCCCCAGGAGUGAACUACGUGCACCAGUUCUGUGUGGGGGCAGCCAAGGGGGUGCUGAGCCCGUUUGUGCUGCAGGAGAUCGUCAUGGAGACGCUGCAGCGGCUGAGUCCCGCUCAUGCCCACAACCACCUGCGUGCCCCGGCCUUCCACCAACUGGUGCAGCGCUGCCAGCAGGCAUACAUGCAGGUGACAACCUAGAAUUAUGGAGCAGGGUGGAGCACUUCCUGGGGCAGAGAUCACGCCAUUGCACUCCAGCCUAGGCAACAAGAGCGGAACUCCGUCUCAAAGAAAAAAAAAAUCUCCUUCUUUCAAUCUACUUACCUUUGUUUCAAAAGAAAUGCAGGAAAAUGGAGUCUAGUCUGUAUGUCACUGGCCUAUGUGUUGCCUUAGGCAAAUUCCUUAAACACAUUAGUACAAUGGGAACAAUAUCUACCUUG